AAGCAAACCUAAGGGAACUGAAACAUCUAAGUACCUAGAGGAAAAAAAUCAAUUGAGAUUCCGUUAGUAGUGGCGAGCGAAUGCGGAAUAGCCUGAUCAUAUAUUGCUUAGUAUUUUUAGCAGAACAGUUUGGAAAAAUUGAUGAUACAGGGUGAUAGUCCCGUAUGCGAAAAAAAUAUUAAGUAAGGUGAUUUAUAAAGUAAAACGAGACACUUAUCUUGUUUGAAUAAUCUCUACAGAGAGCGGGGGGACCAUCCUCCAAGGCUAAAUACUCGUUAUCGACCGAUAGUGAACUAGUACCGUGAGGGAAAGGCGAAAAGAACCUCUGUUAGAGGAGUGAAAUAGAACCUGAAAUCGUGUGCGUAC
rnacentral:ncRNA from 1 species